AUACUAGUAGGUACGAGAGGAACCGCGGGAUCAGAGCAAUGGUUUGCGCGCUCGCUCGAUAGAGCGGUGGUGCCAGGCUGCCUCUGAGCGAUAACGGCUGAACGCCUCUAAGCCGGAACCAU
rnacentral:ncRNA from 1 species